rnacentral:lncRNA from 13 species
CUGAACCUGGCCUUCCUGCUAUCUGUCCUUUUUGAUGGGACAUAAUUGAGCCAGCUCUGGUUACAGAGACAGAGACUUAGGAAAGCCAAUGGUCAGAAUGAAGGUGACCUGCAGAAGCAUCCAUCAAAGAAUAGGGUUUCUUUGUGUGUGCAUGCUUUGGAUGACGGGGCUGGGUUAAGUUCCCAGGUUUAUGACUGCAUAUCAUUUUCGGCUUCAAUGCCGAGUGCUGACAUGAGUUUCUCCGGGUGCCUUUUCUAUAAAAAGGAAACUCUCGGUGGGGGAGGAAAGACACAACAGAGAUGAGCAGACGUCGUGUAAGCUGCUUGUGGCAAAUAAACAGCCUGGACGGAGAAGUGCGAGAGGAAGCCCACCGUCUGGGGCCAGCCAGCAGCACCUAGGCC